UUAUCUGAGAGUUGAUUGUUAUGGUGUAGUGCGAGAAGUUACGAGCAGAAUCUGCCACGCUGCCUGGCUUAAGGGCGGAGCUAGAAGCUCUAAGACGGAGACAUUCAGCAGCAUUGGAGUUGAUGGGUGAACGUGAUGAAGAGUUGGAAGAACUGCGUGCGGAUAUUGUCGAUUUGAAGGAGAUGUACAGGGAACAAGUGAACUUACUUGUAAAUAAGAUUCAGGUGCUAAGUUCUUCAAUCGGUGCUGCCUAAUGAUCUUUUUAGGGCGAUGGGCAAUUUCAGUUGUAGCAAUAUCAUGAUAUGGUAGUAAAUCCUGUGUAUGGAAUUGGGUUUACUUAAUCACAUGAUGUCUUUUUACACAAAGUUGUUUAUUUAUACUCCGUCAAGAACAUGCUAUUUUUGAAACUUUUUAUUGUAAUAUGUGAUGUUGUAUAGGCAAGAGCUUGGCAAGUUUUGUGUUGUUAUUUGUUCAAAUGUUCUAACACGGAGAUAAAUUGUCUGUAUUGCUUUGGCUAUUGCAACUUGAUAUUAGUUUAUUGCGUCGAAGGAAAUUUUUUCCCCAUUGUUUUAUUA